rnacentral:rRNA from 1 species
UACGUAGGGUGCGAGCGUUAAUCGGAAUUACUGGGCGUAAAGUGUGCGCAGGCGGCGUUGCAAGUCGGGUGUGAAAUCCCCGAGCUUAACUUGGGAAUUGCGCUCGAAACUACGAUGCUCGAGUGUGGCAGAGGAAGGUGGAACUCCACGUGUAGCGGUGAAAUGCGUAGAGAUGUGGAGGAACACCGAUGGCGAAGGCAGCCUUCUGGGCCAACACUGACGCUCAUGCACGAAAGCGUGGGGAGCAAACAGG